rnacentral:tRNA from 1 species
GGUUGUGGCUCAGUGGUAAAGUGCUUGACUUGCACGCAUGAAGCCCUGGGCUCAAUCCUCAGCGCCA